AAAAAAAAAAUCACAACAUGUCUAAAUGGAAUGUUUAUUAUUUUGUCAUUAUUUUUUCUUGAUUUUC
rnacentral:ribozyme from 1 species